UUGUUCUUCAUCUGGGGGAUUUCCCCAUCUGCAAAGGCCUGGCAUUAAGUGAGUAAUAAAAAACCAGAAAACUGCAGUUGGCAGACAUGUGAUUGCAACUGCAGUGUGACUUACUGCAAGUGUUUUUAUAAUUUUAUUUGGAGAAAGUAUUGCGUAAAGCUGAAAUAAAAACGCUUUCCGUAACUUUACUUUCAUUGUUUCGGUGUAUGACUUUUAUUUCGAUAACUUUAAUAAGCAAUAAGCUUUAAGUCCAAAAUAAAAUUCACUAUAAAGAUCUUGAGUUCCUCCGAAUUUGGAUGUGCUUUCAUAAUCGCCUUGAAUUAUUGUUCAAUGCAUGUACUUUCUUUGGGGCCCCCAAUAAAAAGUUAUCAAGAUAAGAUAUAACUUGUGAAGCCUUGAAGUUACAUAAGUGCUUCUAGGUAAAUCGAGAAAUUUCACAGUCCUAAAAGGUAACUAUCUAUAUCAGGGACCGACUUUGUUUCAAAAUAUACAUAUCAGUUGACGAAUUUGGGAGACCAUGUAAGCAAUUUUGAAAUCAUAAUGCCAAGGCACGCGAGCAGGCUCAACGAACGGGGUCAUUAGGAAUUGAGUUCCGAACGGCUAGGAAAUUAAAAAUAAUAAGUUAAUUGCCUGAUUAGAAUAAUUUUCCGCUACAUGUCGGUCUGAGUGUGUUUGUGAGUGUGUUCAUAAUGAUAUCUGAAAGGCAAAAGCUCUCGGGGACUUUUUAUGGGGUUCGCUGAGUUGGUGCGGUUCUGACUAUCUCAUAAAUUAGUCUUGUGACAAACGAUGACAGUACGGAUUGGGUUGUUGCUCUUGGCAAACAAUGUCACCCACAACCAUACACCGCACACCACACUUGCAACAUCGAUUAAACUUUGAAGCCCGUGGGCAGGACAAAGUUUGCGAAAAAUAUUGACAACAAACGACCUUGUGGGUGACAGUCAGUGACGUCACUGUGACACUGGCUGGCACAAAGAUAAUAUUAAUUUCCCGACUCUGAUUUAAUUAUCUCAAUUGCUUAUCUACCGAAAUAGAAAAACCUUUCAUUUUCAUGGGCAUGCGGCGUACCAAAGACGAAAAACAGACCAACUGACCCGCAAGCCAAUGUCAAUGGUGCACUAAAUCUUGCCAGAAAUUCCUCGCCUACAUCUGCCUUUGUAUAAAUCGGAACAUAUCCACAUAUAGCUGAAUACAUAUAUGUUUGCUCGAUACGUUCAAUUUCAGUUUGCAGCCGAGCGAGUGAAAACUAAAAGCAAAACAAACCUACAACAGACCGUAUAUUUACGAUCUAUAGUGUAUGUGAAAAUGCUGUAUAUACACAUUAAAUUUAAAUUUCAAAUGAAGAAAACAAAAGUGGAAUGGAAAGACUCAUAAUUGUUGCAUAGUUCUUGUUUCAUGUCAUGGGCCAUAUCUUAGACAGAUCCUUGCAGAUCCUGAUUCCCGGUUCUCAACUUACCGAUGACGGAAACGCACUUCUCGUUCACAACACCACUGGGCA